AAGAAAAAGAAGGAGGAGCGGCCCGAAAAGCGCAGGCCGGGAGAAUUUCAAACACUUGAAAGGAAGAGAGAAGGAGGAAGGUAAAGAAAAACUAACAAUUUCUGCUGAUGUGAAGCCUUCUACGGCUGAUGCUGGACUGAGGAUCAGUCUCCUUGUGCUGUUAUACUUAUAAGAAAAUGAGAUCAAAUGAUCUCGGAUAGGAUCUUAAGUGAAUUCCUAUGGAAUUCACAUAAAAUGUGGCUUUAUAGUGUCGCUAUUAGUAAUGAAACAGCGUUAUAUAUAUUAGAAGAGCCUUCUUUUGAAACAUGAUCAUCUAAUAACACUAUUCACGAUGAAUUCAAAUAUCUACAAACAUAAGCACGAACUAAACAAAAUAACAAAAUAUAGUGUAAUUAAUUUACUUCGUAAUUUGAGCCAGUAUUAUAAGGGAAACAAAUCGAAUUAAAACCGUUACAAAGUCAAAGAAGAAACCUUUAGAUUGUCAAUGAUCAAAGGGAGGAGAAAGCUUCCAUGAGGAAUCCAUGUGCUUCUUUUAAAUAAUUACUGUAGGACAAAUCACGACUUUCUAUGUAAUAUGUACGUAUAAUAUUGGAUACUUUGCAAAUCUCUCUCUCGAAAUAGACCGUGCAAAGCUCUCCGCCUUCUUUGUCUAAAUACUUAUAACUCAUCCAUGACACUUUCUUUGGCAAUAAUGCCUCAUUUGUGUACUUCAAUGUGUUUGAUUCUCUUUCUACUUUAUCAUUGUUUAUAAUUUGGGAAAUAUGUUGCAAGCUAUCGCUUUUGAAAUUCAUAAUAAAUUCAUCAAUUGACCCUCCCUGAAAUCUUGCAAAAUAUUUGUAUAUAUAUACUUUUAUGUUCAUAUAUAAAUCAGGCAAAAAGCAUUUUGUAUAUACAUAUUAUAAAAAUGUCCAAACAUGGACAUCAUCAAAAUCAUAAAUUGUCCAUAAACUUGCGGACAGUAGUCAUAGCAGUAUUGCCAAAAAAACCUAUAUUUUUAGACCUUAAAGAAUAGCCCCACCCACUUUGCUCAAAAUUUAAUUGCAAUUUUUGUCGUCUAUCUAUUAGAAAAAAUGAUUAGGUUAAUAUCUUAUAUCAUGAUGUUUCUUUUAUUAUCAAUUAUUAUUACCUAUAUAGAAAUAGGGAAAUACUCUUCAUAUAAAGCUUUAUAUUUUAUGAGUAUCAUCGUGCCCAUAAAUCUAAAUCUUAUGGUUUUUUUGAUGAAUUUAUAAUCAGCAAUUAGUUAACCUUUUAGAAACCAAUUUUCCAAAUUUGGGAUUUUUUUUUAAAUUCAAAAAUAGUCAAAAAACUUAAUUUUAUUGUUAUAUGUUUGCUAUUAAUAUGUAUAUACACGUAAAUUAUCAAUAUAAAUUGAUACUAGUCAACUAUCAAGACAUUUAUAUCUUGCACAAAAUAAAACAAAAAAUUUAUACUUUAAGAAUAAGAAUAAACCUUUGUCAUCAACUUUUGACCAAAAGUAUUAACUAA
rnacentral:lncRNA from 1 species